rnacentral:rRNA from 1 species
CACGCUGUAAACGAUGAUUACUAGGUGUGGGGGGACUGACCCCUUCCGUGCCGGAGUUAACACAAUAAGUAAUCCACCUGGGGAGUACGGCCGCAAGGUUGAAACUCAAAGGAAUUGACGGGGGCCCGCACAAGCAGUGGAGUAUGUGGUUUAAUUCGAAGCAACGCGAAGAACCUUACCAGGUCUUGACAUCGAGUGAAGAACGCAGAGAUGUGUUCGUCCUUCGGGACACAAAGACAGGUGG